rnacentral:lncRNA from 1 species
AAAUACCCUCCCUCUUCUGUUCAUCUCCUUCGUCUCUCUGUUGCCCAACCCUAGCGUCGCCUUUAUAUCCUUUUGCCAUUUUUGGCGGCUGCACAGUCAUAAGCCGUCCGAAACCACCUCAAAAUCACACCCUAGAACCCUCCCCAUCUUCUUAUCCCAAAUCUCCAACACUUUGUCCAAAAAUCCUACCGAAGUACGUCGAAUCUCAGAUCCAAGACUCAGUCCUCGAGCUUUCAUCUCGCCUGCUUUACCAGGUUCAAGCUUUUGGGCCGAUAAUGGCCCGAAGUUUAUGCCAUAUCAACUUAUCUCCUUGAGAAUGAUUGGCUGCCAUGGACUUCGAUUCAUUUCGUAGCCCGUCGGCAUCAUGCAAGACCCAAAUCCGGCAAGUCUACUCGAGAGAUGUAUACCUCCGAUUAGUUAGUAUGUAUUUUUCUUCUUCUACGUCGAUUGCCUUUCUCUUCAUAACUCGGAAUAAUUGAGGCCAAUACGGUUAAGUCGUCUGUUUACUUGUUUUGUUUGGAUCAUUUUAAUUGGUUCAUAAAUGGUUGCUAGGUUAAUUAAGUUUGUUUUUUGUUUGCCUAAAUUAUUUUAGUUUUUGGACUCAAUUCUUUACUUUUCCUUCUUUCGGCCAAAACAACUUUGUUCUAUUAAGCCUUAGUGCUCGGCAUAAUUGCCUGAGUUCGUUGAAUUUGGGCCAUUAUAUUCAUGCCCAUUAGUUUAGAUGGGAUCUCGUUUUCAACUUGACCCGGGUUGGUCGCUGGGGGUAAUUCUCAGAUUUUUGAAGGGACAACUUGGGUAAUUAAUUGAGGCAAUAUCUUUCAUAACAUAAUAGGAAGCUUCUAGUAGGUGUUUUAAUUUAAAUUUUCAGAUUGUUAGUAGGUUAACUUGGGUAACAAGUCAAUAAUUAGAGGAUAGCUGAGCAAAAAUGAAAAUUCAAAAAAGGGGCAAAGGGUAAAAAAACUAAAUCUAAGAAAUACCCUAUUUGCUUGCCUAUAAAGGCAUCAUUUCUUGCCUUAAAAGGAGAGUUUUAAUAUCUGAAAAUCCAUAAAAUAAAAGGCCAACACGUUCUGAAAAAAUCUAAAAAUUUUAGAGAGCUGAAAAUCCUAAAAGUUCCAGGCGGCUAAAAUUUCUAAAAUAUAUACUCUUCCAUUAAGUUUUCUGGAGAUACUUGAGGUUUUCAUUGUUAAAAACGAUCCUUGAACAUUCAGAAGUUGAAAAGUGAGUUGAAUUAUGUUUGAUAUUCAAGUAUUUGGGUCAGCUUUGGUUAGAUUUUGGUGACUGUUUUUUGCUGAUGCUAUUGCUAGUUCAAGUUUGGUUUUAAGUUGGUUUUCCUCAAUUAUUUAUGGGUGAAUUUUGCUUGCUGAACAUUGUCCUUGUUACUGCCUUGUUGCUGACCUCUCACUUCUAUGAAUUACUUUCAAAUUCUAGGUAUUUAAGCAUGUUAGAGCUAUUAGUAGAGGUGAUAUGGGGUUAGCAUUUAUAUUUUGAUCUUCAGUUCAGCUCUGUGGUUAUAUGUGUGUUGAAUGAUUUUUGUUCAUUAUUAGAGAUCUAACGUGCUAGAUUCAUCAUUAUUUGAUUCACAAGCAUCAUGUGCUAAAAAUCUGAUUUAAACUUGGCUUUGCUAGGUUUUGCAUGGUGUCUGUUCGUAUAGAAUUAAUGAUUAUGCUCAAGGAUUUGAAUUUGCUUUAGCCAUUUAGGAUAAUGCUGAACUCUGGCGACUCUGCCGGGGAUAAGAACCCAGAAUCUCUGGUUCAUGGUUCAAAUUCGAGCUUGUUAAUAUGAUUUUGCUUGGCUUUAUUUAUUUGUUAAUAUUAGUAUAUUUUGUGAACCUUUGUUCUAAUUGCUAUUUUUUUACCGCUUUAAUAUUAUUUGAACUGUAUAUAAUUGUCUUCUUCGCCACCCUUUUGAUUCUUAUGAAUAUGGUGCAUACGUUCGCGUAGCCCGUUUUCUCUGUAGAAAUUAUACCGAAUAAAACGAGGCUGGGCAAACGACAAGGCUGGGCAGACUUUAGUGCUCCCAGUAUGUCGCCCCCUCUCCGGCCCUAGUUGUCCACUCGGGUACCCCAAGUCUAGACCAAAACCCCAGGAUUUAAACCUAGAAGAUACAUCCUCCUACAGGAUCCCAAAUGUCACGACCUGGCUUUUUUACCAUCGAGAGUCGUGAUGGCGCCUACUAUCGGAGCUAGGCAAGCCAAACAUUUCAACAUUUUUACUGAUUUCAUUUAAAUAAUUAUACUAAACUAGAAUAAUAAUUAAAGCGGAAGACUUUUAAAUGCUUAAAUAACAUAAAGCGGGAGUACAAAAGUUUCAAAAUAUACUUCUACCCAGUAUAUGGUGUCACUACUCAUGAUUGCUAUGGAAUACUAAAACAAGAGUCUGAAAGAAAUACAUAGAAGAGUAUGUCUCGGUACAAAGGAGACAAACUAAUAAUAUAUAAGGGACUCCGGCCUGCGGACGCCAGCUAUCCUUGGACCGAAGUCGGCGCACGAGCAAAUACUGCUACUGAGGUUCAACAACUGCUCCUGGAUCAGUGCAAAAAGAUACGCAAAGUGUAGUAUCAGCACAACCGACUCCAUGUGCUGGUAAAUGCCUGGCCUAACCCCUGCGAAGUAGUGACGAUGCUAGACAGGACCUACCAUAAAUGACAUGUAUAGAUAUAUGUGCAAUAAUAGAAAGUACACGAAUUUAAACAGCUAAGAGCGAGGGGAGCAUUCUAUAGGGUAUGACAAUUUAAAUAUAGAAAUCAUCGAAUAAGAAGUAAAGCCGUACAACAAUUGCUAAGGAAAAACACAGGAAAGCCCUACAUUCAAAAACAAUAUACUUGAUCCAUACUCUGUUGCGGCGCGCAACCCGAUCCUCAAAAAUAUCUGUUGCAGUGCGCAACCCUAUCCUCAAAUAUAUCCGUUGUGGAGAUCAACCCAACAACAACAACUACCCAGUAUAAUCCCACAAAGUGGGGUCUGGGGAGGGUAAUAUGUAGACGAGCCUUACCCCUACCCAAAAAGGCAGAGAGGCUGUAUGUGGAGAGCAACCCAAUCCUCAAAUAUAUCCGUUGCGGAGAGCAACCCGAUCCUCAAAUAUAUCCAUUGCAGUGAGCAACCCGGCCCUUAAUAUUUAAUACCGUCGCGGUGUGCAACUCGAUCCUCAACCAUUAAUACCGUUGCGGCAUGCAACCCGGUCCUCUAUAACUAGCAACAAGAACUCACCCAAACAACAACCACAACUCGUGUGCAAGGGAGUAACCACAAAUACAAGGAGUCCCGACCAGGGAAUACAACUAACAGCUCAAAAAUCCCGGCAAAGGAGAAUUCAAUAUAUACCUAAAUCGACAAGGGAAUAAUCACAGUACUUCACACUUAAAUACUUAGUCAUCAACAAGUUCUAGGUCAAGCCAAUGCCCCAAUGUUAUAUAAAUCACUAUUUUUCCUCAACCAUUAAUAUCAUGUGAAAUAUAACAAUUCAAACAAAAAGCCGUAUCACAUCAUUCGAAUUAAAAACAAUUAAGACUCAUGUUCAUGCUAGUCUUCGGUGCAUAGAUAGUCGUCACCAUGCCUACACACCGUACACUACACUCAGAAACAUAGCAAAUAAUAUCCUAGUCCUAUUCCCUCAAGCCAAAGUUAGAUUAAACACUUACCUCGGUCCUAGAAUUCAAUAUAUAUCUAAAUCCCGGCAAGGGAAUAAUCACAGUACUCUCGCGCUUAAACAUUUAGUCAUCAACAAGUUCUAGGUCGAGCCAAUGACCUAAUGUCAUACAGUCACUAUUUUUCCUCACUCGUUCAUAUACUAUGAAAUAUAUCAAUUCAAACAAGAAGUCGUAUCACAUCAUUCGAAGUAAAAGCAAUUAAGAUUCACAGUCAUGCUAGACUCUGGUGCAUACAUAACCAUCACCAUGCAUAUACACCGUACUCUACACUUAGCACGUAGCAAAUAAUAUCGUAGUCCUAUUCCCUCAAACCAAGGUUAGAUCAAACAUUUAUCUCGGUCCGAAAAUAGCAAUCAAGUCUCUAACACCGCCUUUCCUCUAGAAUCAAACUCCGAGACAAUGAUAUCUAGGCACAAUUUAGUUCAAUAUUAUCAAUAAUGGGUCAAAGACACAAUUACAUAGCCUAAAAAUGAAUUUCCUAUCAUUCUUCAAAAAAUACCAAAAUCCGACCCCAGUCCCACAUGGUCCAAACUUGAGGCUCAGACAAACAUUCGUACACCCAUAACCCCACGAGUUCAAAUCUAUAAUUUGUUUUGAGAUUCAACCCCAAUUUAAGGUUGAAUCAUCAACAAUUCCCAAAAAUCUAACUCUACCCAUAAGCCCUAAUUUCUACUUUGAUUUCAUAUUUUUAGGCCUAGGAAUUCAAUAACUAGUGAAGAAAAAUGAAGGAAUUGGGUGUAGAAUUACUUACCGAACGAGUCUUGGAAGAGGGGAGGUUCAAUGGAGUCCUAAAUCCUAAUGGAGAAGAGAGCUCAUGAGAAGAAGUGAGAAAUCCCGAAGUGAACAGUUCUGUUUUUUAAAAAAUCACUGAAGGGAAAUUGUGCUAUGUGUUCAGACACUACGUCGCGUUCGCGAAGUAGAAGGACAAUGGACCAUCACGUUCGCGAUUGGGAGUGUGCAAACGCGAAAAAAAAGAAAAUAGUCUACGCGAACGCGAGAGAAGCCUCACGAAUGCGUUAAAGAGGCAGCAUGGGUUACGGGAACGCAUGGUGUUGUCCGCGAACGUGAUGAAGAGUGAAGCUCUGCGAAUGGGUGACUGAAAUGCGAACGCGAAGAAGGAAUUUACUGUGCAAAAAUUGUAGAAAAUCUACUAUGUUUCCAAGUGUAAAAAUAAUCUCGAACCACCUCUGAAUCACUUCCGAGCCCUCGGAACUCCCAACCAAACACAUACACUAACUCAAAACCACCCUACGGACUUGCUCGCGCGGUCAAAUCGCAAAAAUAACAUUAUAAUCAUUGACUUAAGCCUCAAAUUCGUCAUUUUCCUUUCAAAGUUCAUAAACUUUCAAAUUUUCCAUUUUUAGUCCGAUACAUGUCAAAUGACAUCCGUUUUCAACCAAACUUUACAGAUAGUGCUUAACACAUGUUUAAGACUUGUACCGAGCAUAAGAACCAAAUACGAACAUGAUACCUAUAUUUUCUAACUCAUAUUUAUUUCAAAAUUUUCAUAUCAUUUUUAGAAAAAUAAUUUCUUUCAAAAAUUCUAUACUCGGGCUUGGAACAUUGGAUUUCGAUUCCGGAAAUACGCUCGAGUCACAUAUUUUUCUACGGACCCUCCGAGGCCGUCAUCACGGGUUCGGGUCCGGAUUCGUUUACCCAAUAUGUUGACCGAAGUCAACUUUUACAAUAUUAAUAUCAAAAUUCUUCAAAUUUCUCACAUAAUUCACAUAUUUAAUAUAAAAACUUUCCGGCUACGUACCCGAACUUCGCAUGCAAAUUGAGGCAAGUGAAAUAACUUUUUUAAGGCUUCGGAAGCACGGAACGAGUAAGGAAACAGGUGAUGACCCUUUGGGUCGUCACACCUAGUAGGAACGUUUGUUUGCGUCAUGUGCAUUUGACUUAAGGGACUCAAACCCAAAAUAACAGACCAUCUUGAUGCAUCCUAUGUGCUACUUGUUGCAUUUAUUUAAGGGUAAAAUGGUAAUUUGGCGAACUAAUGAUAGUUGAGGAAAAAUAAAAAAUAAAGAGAAAAAAAAAGAAAAAGAGAGAGUGAAAUGUGGAGAUAAAGUGAGUUGGGCCGAAUUAUGUUGUUAAACAAAACUUGAACAUUCAGAAAGGUAAAAAAAAUUUGCACUUUUUCAUCAUUUUCUGAAAAUCAGAAAAUCAAAAAAUAAAAAGAAAUUCAAAAAGAUUUUGCAUGUUUCAUUAUUUUCAAGAAAAAGCAAAAGUUAUGUUUUCUCUAAAUUAGUUAUUUUUUUAAUUCUCGCCCGUAUCCAAUCUGCUUGUACUAAGCAUACCCGAUUCUCGUCUUUCGGGGCGUGAUGCGUAGGCAACCUACAUAGGGUCCGGUCUUCCUAGUAAAUAUUAGGUUCUUGGCUUUGCAGAGUCUUAGUAAAAAUUCACACUUCUAGCCACCUUUUGUUUAAAUAAGUCAUUAUGCAAAAAUAUCCUCAAUCAUGUGUUGCAUAUGUCUAGUAGGGAAUGUUAUUGUCUCACAUAGCGUUGUUUCAAAGCUUUCUCAUACGGGUGUGGAUUUACUUAUCAGAGUUUGAGCAUGACAGGCACCCCAUGACCAUCCAGUCAGGUUCGCUCAGUCACGAGUUGCUUAAGGAGA